ensembl:lncRNA
GGGGGCAGGGGGGGGCAGUGGGGAGCAGUGGGGGGGCAGUGGGGGGGCAGUGGAGGUCAGUUUGGGGGAGCAGUUGGGGGGCGGGGGGGGGCAGUGGACGCUGCGCUGCCCUCAGGGCCCCAUUUGGGUAUGUGGGGCAAAGGGAAGCGCCGCGCUGAGCCCACCCCAUAGGAUCGCGGCCAUCACCCAUCCCCCACUUGGCGGCCCUACAGCCGGGGGGGGUUUGGGGGGGGGGGGGAGCGCUGUGCCCCCCCCGGCAGCGCCUCCGUUUCCCCACGUGCCGCUGAGGGCAGUGAGCCCAGCAGGGGAAGGUGUGAGCGGUAAACACUGCCGCCCUGGAAACCCCAUAACAGAGCGGAGACCCCACAACAGAGCGGAGACCCCACAACAGAGCAGAGACCCCACAACAAACAGAGCGGAGACCCCACAACAAACAGAGCGGAGACCCCACAGCAGAGCGGAGACCCCACAACAACAGAGCGGAGACCCCACAACAAACAGAGCGGAGACCCCACAGCAGAGCGGAGACCCCACAACAAACAGAGCGGAGACCCCAUAACAGAGCGGAGACCCCAUAACAGAGCAGAGGCCCCACAACAAACAGAGGGGAGACCCCAUAACAGAGCGGAGACCCCACAACAACAAAUAGAGCGCUCUGUGAGACCCUAUAAGAAACAAAGGGGGUCCCAUCGGGUCGGCGCUGAAGCGGGUCCCUGCAGCUCCGCACCCCACAGUGAGCAGCAGCCCCGUAUGGUCGGCCCCAUGAGGGAGCGGGGGGGAACCACACAGCGACCCCAUAGCCCCACACAGACCCCAUAGUCCCAUAUAGACCCCAUAGCCCCGCAUGGACUCCAUAGCCCCAUGCAGACCCCAUAGCCC